CACCAUCCGGUAAGGCUAAAUACUCCUGAGAGACCGAUAGUGAACCAGUACCGUGAGGGAAAGGUGAAAAGUACCUUGAAUAAAGGGGUGAAAUAGAACCUGAAACCGCACGCCUACAAGCGGUCGGAGGCACCUAGUGUGCUGACGGCGUGCCUUUUGCAUAAUGAGCCUACGAGUUACUCUUCACUAGCAAGGUUAAGUCAUUAAGUGACGUAGCCGGAGCGAAAGCGAGUCUGAAUAGGGCGACAAAGUUAGCAGUAGUAGACGCGAAACCGUGUGAUCUACCCAUGGGCAGGGUGAAGCUCCGUUAAUCCGGAGUGGAGGCCCGAACCAGU
rnacentral:rRNA from 1 species